GCGAUUAUAGUUCAAUCGGUAGAACGGUAAAUUGUGACUUUAUAAACCAAGGUUCGAACCCUUGUUUUCGCC
rnacentral:tRNA from 1 species